GGCACACUUUGCCGGCUCGAGCUUAAUAGGGAAUCAGGUGAGAAUCCUGGACAGUCCCGCUGCUGUAAGUCGCAAAACAGCAUCACCGGCACUCUAUUCAAAGUCACUGAAUCGCGAAAGCAAUAGAUUUGGGAAGACAGCAUGGUGAUGGCGAUAAGUCAGAAGACCUGCCAUUCAAUAAA
rnacentral:ncRNA from 1 species